UGAUUUGGGAUUCUUAUGUUCAUAUGUGCAUAGCACCUUAAUUGUAUAUCUGUAAUAUAUGUAAAAUAUAUAUAUAUUUUAUAUAGCUUUUGCUAUUCCAUUUUUUUUCUUCUCUCUCUUUUGCGAGCUUUUCUUCUGUAGUCUAUGGGGUUUGGUGGGAAGCCAACUACAACUGGCUACAGCCUCUCCCAGACCAAGACUAAUGCUGGCAGUGUUUUCAAGCAGCUCUGCUACUGGUAUCUCCACAAGGGAUUCCUUUAACAGUAGAGACAAAAAGUACAGACGAAGUUGAAGAAGUCAAGCAAACAUUUUGCAAAACAAGUCAAAGAUCUUCUGAACUGAGCCAUGGCAAAGUCCUGUCCUUCGGGAGAGGGGGAGCUUGUUCCGCCUGCAGAUUAGCCGUUGGACACUUAGUGGUGUGGCGUGGAAAGAGUUAUGUACAGAAGGACGUGCUGCUUCCAAAGCAGUGUGGAAAAGGAGAGUAAUAAAUGACAGUGAGUAGGAACUCACAGUAUAUAUAACAGAUAUUGCUUGUAUCACUUAACAUGCCACUGGCAAAUGAGUAGAAUUUAGUGAUGGAAAGGUUAUAAAAACUAGACUAGAAAAACUCACCCAGGCCAGCACAAUAAGGAAGGGACACAUUCUUGACUGUUCCUUCAUCUACAGUGGAAAAGAAAAAUCCACCUGCAAAAGUGAGUCCAGAGAAAGGCAGGCAGUACACCCUUUUCCAGAAGAAAACUCACCAAAUGGUGAUGAGAAAAUUAAAUUUUCUGUCAAGGCAGAAUAUGUGAUAAUACAGUUGAAUGGAAGUGUGGUGGUCUGUGUGGAACAGGGAACUGGUAUCAUCCUUUGUGUACUCCAUCAUGAGAUAAUAAUUAGAAUUUAGAGAUGAUUAGGCUAGCUGAAAGCUUGCCUUUGCACAGAUUGUUUUGCUGUUGUUUAUAUUUCCUGUACUUGUAUAUUUUAUGGCUUGGAUAAGUAAACAAUAAAAUCUGCCUUAACUCUAUUUUAUAACUUCUAGUAAUAAAUAAUAUUUUGGACAUAUUUUGGGAUCCUGCUGGGUUACAAAUUAGCCUGCCUGCUACUAUUCUAUAUCAGUAUUAAUGCCAUCUACUUUCCAUAGAGCAGUGCCAGAAGUUCUUGGAGGUCAUCUGCUCCGAUGCUAACUCAUUUUGGUUCCUGUCUUGUGUUGAAAGCUGGUGAAGAUGUUGUAUUUCAAGACAGGAGUAUGCCUUGAAGAAGAUAUUUCUGGCAACAUUAUCUACAAGCUAAUCAACAAAAAUCAAGUGCCUGCUACUAAAUUUGCAGGGUCUGCAGGAUUUUUUCCCUCUAAAUAUCCUGGCUCGAAGUUUUAAUGUAACUGCUUAUUAGUCAAAACAAUGAGAGGAGCUUUAAGGAACUGGAGUCAAUGCACAGAGGGCCCUGUUAGCACACUGACAGUUAAGUGAAGCCAUGUGAAAGGGGAACAUUUAAAAGACUGUACAGGACUCACACACCAAAAUGAAGUUGCUAUGGAUACAGGUGUUAUGUAUUCAUAUCCAUCUUUAUCGAAAAACACUGUAGAGGCUGAACUUAAUCUAAGUGUAAGGCUUGGGUAAGAGAAAGGUUGUUGUGCAGAGCAGUGAGGAUGGAAGUAAAACAAUCUCUUCUUUGGUGAGAGGUAUUGAUGGACUAGAAAUAAAAGCAAAACAAUAAAGCAGUUGAGCCAAGAUCAUGCACAAACAGAAGAGAAUACCUUCACCACAGAACCUGAAUGUGUACAAUAAAAUACCCCACAAUGACGGAAGUCACAGGGGAAUAUAGAAAAGGAUGUUUCUUUGGCUCAUUGAAAUUAGGGUUAAAAAUCCUAGUAGCUUCACUGGAGCCAUAUGUUUUAUUCUUUUUUUUUGUAAAUACUUUUAAUCACCUGAUUAAUGCCAGAAUUUUUCUUCCCUUCUUUUUCUUUUUUUUUUUUAUUUCUUUUUCAUAAACAUAAUUGUCAUUGAAAUAGGUGGUUAUAGAGCUGUCCUUGUCUGCUGAUAGGAUCACAGAGGAGCUGAGGAGGUACCCCCUACUGGGGGUAGGUGCCAGUUUCCAGAAGAACGUUUUUUGCUCUGUAAAUAGUUAGAAGGUACAUCUCCUGCCACAGGCCAGAGCUUUUGAUAUUUCUUCACAGGAGGGCUAAGAAUAGAUCCUUAUAUACAUGACCAACAAAGUUUUGCAUAGAAAUUUCAAACUACAAAAAGUGUUGUAUAGUUUCAAAGCCAUCAGUCACUGAUAAAAAUUCCAGUGAUAAGUGCAUUUGAAAUGUCUGGGACAGGAAGAGCUGUUACAGUUAUGGGUUGUUUAAGAAACCUCAUGGUAGUGUUUUGGGCUUACAGUCUCUGCCAAGCACAGUCAUGUGGCAUCUACAGGAUUUCAGGAGGACAUGAAAAUCUACUUGUUUGGUCCAUUUGGCCAUCCCCUUCUCUUCUGGUGGAGUAUUCAUGCAAAACACUUUAUGAGUUUCCACAUUCUUCUCUCUUCCACUAGACUCACCACAAGGCCACACAUACUGAAAUGACCAAAGAAGAGCAUUGCAGCUGUUUCCUUACUGCAUACAGAAUGUUUUUGCAGGUAUUGACCCUGUGCUGAGUUGAGAAGUGUGUCUAGACCAGGUUCAUCAAUUUGGAGCAACCGUUUAGGAGGCCAUUGCUCCCAAAGAUACCUCCAGGUCUCAGGGACGUGACACUCCCAGGGAACCUCAGCGGACUCCAGCAGUCUCUCCUGCUCAACUUGCUGAGUGAAAAUGAGUGAACAGAGGUAGUGGAAACCAGAUGGUCAGAAACAUACUAAAGGCUCUCAUGAAGGGAAUUUAAUUGAGAGGGAAGGAUUUGUCACCUUUCACUUCUCCCUAUCAGGGCUUCUGAAAUCAAACAGAGUGAAAUUUGGCAGAGCUCAUCAUGGAUCUGAAGUCUAUUUCUACUAAAUAAAUUAGUGAAUCAGUGACUAACAUUAGAACUAAAUCAGCAUGAGAUUACAAUGCAUGCAAAUUGCUGCCACUGCAAUGAUAUGUGCGAUUAAAACAAAUGAAUAAUAAAGGAGCUCCAUAUUUAAGGUAGUCAAAGUCCAGGACGAAGCACAGGAAGGCUCAGAUAAAUCAUCAUGUCACUAUUCCUUGACAAUCUACAAUACAUGAGGUGCUCCCACUGACUGUGAACAUACUGUUAGCACAUGGAUAGGGCAAGGUAAUGCAGCAUAGCUGUCAGGGACAGAGCAUUUAAAGCUGAAUUAUAUUUACAAUAGUGCACACAUGGGGAAUUGCAGCAGCUCCAUUGGUACCUUUUAACUUGUUGAUUAGCUGUCACCAUCAGGGAUUUGGUCAUCUCUCAGCUUCACAGUGCCCCACUAGCCAUAGACACAGGUAGACGAUUUUAAAAAGAAGAUAUUCCAAAUCACAAGUCACUCACACAAAUCCUAUUCCUAAUAUCAAUGAUCAUGAGAGAAUGCAAUAAUCCUGAGUAGCAAGUUUGAUUAGGAGUUUGCAAGCCAAAGAGCAAGCAAAAAUCAUUAGUUUCUUCCCAAGAGCAAACAAAGUUCAUAAAUUUCUUCCCAAUUACAAUAAAUCAAUACCAGCAGCUUAGACAUUUUGUUUUACCAGUUAUGCACAGAAUAAUUUAGAUUGGAGGUCAUCCCGUCCCAUCGCCUGCCCAAAGCAGGGCUGAAUCCAAAGCUAGAGCAUAUUGCCAUAGAAUCAGAGAAUGGUUUGGUUUGGAAAGGAUGGUGAACUACAAUUCCAGGGAUGGGGCAUCCACAGGCAGUGCCUUUUCCAAUGAAGGGUAUAAAUGUAUCCACAGAUGGAAAUUUUUCAUGGUGUUGGUUUCUAAUCAACAAUUAUCAUAAAUUGGCUAUGCUUUCUAAAACCCUACCCUGAUAGAUAAAAUUGUUAUUUUCAGCCUCUGGACUGAAAAUUCAACUGGACUGAAAGUUCAACCCCAGACCUGAUACAGGGUUUCAUUUAAAGAUUUUUUUUUUCUGAAUGAUUGAAACAAUUAAAAUUUUCUUCACAGUUUGAAUCCACAAGCAGAAUUCCAAUCUGGGUGUGUAUUAGGCAUUAUUUUAAUAGCAGAAAGUGCAGAAAAGGUGUAAAAUCCAAGCUCCAGAUCAUUCUUCAGGUUAAAUCAGCAUUUUUUCCUUUGACCUAGUAGAUCAGCAACUUUGCUACUCAUCUUUGACAUUUUUCACUGAAUUAUCUUCCUCUUCUGUACUAUCCUGUUCAGCUAUGAAAAAACAGAAAAGCCGUUCCCUGACAGUUUCACUUACAGUGACUCCAACCCUUUUAUCACCUUUUAAAAUGAUAAUAAAAAGUCAUUCAGAAAUUGUCUGCAAAUACCUCCCAUAGUACCUGAUUCAGAGCAAGGUAAUUAGAAAGAGCGAUGGCUAUUUCAUGAAGAUCAGAAAGUGUGGAUGAUGCCAUCCAUCUUCACUUUCUAGGUUCUUGAAAUACUUGUUCUGUAAGUAGCACUUUAGCUGUGUGGAGGUAUAAGAAAUAAACCCAAGUACAGGUGCUGCAUGUUCUCUGCAUUAAAAAUGCAAAAUGUCACCAACUCUGUAGCUGAAAAAUGUCACCUCAUCUGUUCUCCUUUGAGAUUGGACCCAGUUCUAGAUGUGUAAUCCUUGGCAAGAUGUUUGCCUUAAAGCUUAACUGUGUUGUAGUCUCUGUCUCAUAAAAUAUUCUAUAAAAUCUCAAUGAGAUAUUGUAAGGAAGCCUAAAGACACCCAUUAUACUUAUUUCAAGGUCUUUUUACACUAGCCUAGCAGAUGUAAAAUAUCUGUAAUACAAAGGAGAAUACAUGUACUGGAUUCUAAAGCCUUUAUUUUGUAGAGGAUGGCACAAAGAUUCUUUGUCAGAGUGCAUAAAUCCCGAAUAAUUCAGUUCCUUUGCGCAAAACUUACUGGAGCACUCCAACUCAAUGGUAGAAGUUACAUUGUACCUCAAGAAUUUCCUUCUGUUAAGGGAUAGAUCAAUAUUCAUACUUGCAAAAUCCCUUUGCCACAACAACACAGCACUUUUCCUGAGGAAUAUAUGUGCAAAGGGGAACAGAGAAAAAGAAGAAAGAUAUUUGUAGAAAAAAUUCCCUACUCAACAUUUUCUAGUCGUGCAUACAUUGGUUUCAUUCAUCUGUACCUCUGCUGAAGUUGAGCCUUUCACUGAAACAUCUCAUUCUCUUCACCACUUUAUUUACAGAGAAAGAGGAGCCUUAGACCAUUUGGUCCAGUUUUGCUGAAAUUUUUUCUUAAGUGAUUUUUCCUUAAGAGUUUGUUUUCAUUUCUUCACAGAAGACCUACAGGAUGUGAGAUGUUUGGUUGCCAACAGAGAACCCUGAUUACCAAAGACAAUGCCACUAUAGAGAACAAAUGUACAUUUGUAUGGCAUUUGGCUCAGUGUCUUCAAGAAAGAAAUAAGUGAACAAUUCUCCUUGGGCCUGUCAAUAAAGUGGAAUCUCCAAAUAAGCUCAGUAGUGAAAAAGGCCAGCACUUCUCAAGGCAGUGAAUGCAGAGAACUGGUUGCAGCUUCUCUUUUUAGCCCUGUUAUAUGCUCAAGAGUUUAAAGUAAACAUAAUAUCAGGAAGGGGAAGAGACACAGACAGGGUUGGAUUCAAGCAGUAUAGGAAGGGAAGAUGUGUCAACCUCUAUUCCAUGAUAUUCUUCACAUUGAGGGUAACAAUACAAAAUGGACAAUGAGUAUUUGCGAAGUUUUGUGGCUGUGCUUCAUUUUCAUUUCUUUCUACCUUCUUUCAGGUUUUGUAGACCUGUUACUCUGGCACAAAACUUCUUUAAGGGUGAGCGGUAGGAGACCAAGUUGUACAUCUAAAUAUAUAUAUCUAGUGCUACUCUUGGGAGUCCAAGUGUGGUGGGUUACCCCAGGCCAAGAGCCAAAUGCCCACCCACCUACUCAGUCCCUCUCCCCCAGCAGGAUGGGGAGCAAAAAGACUCACAGAUCAAGAUAAUGACAGUUUAAUAGGGAAAGCAAGAACUGUGUACUAUGGCAAGGCAAAAAGAGGAAUUUGUUCACUUUUUCCCAUUGGCUGUCAGAUGUCCAGCCAUUUUAAUGAAAGAAAUAUUACAGAGGGAAGACAAAUGAAAUAACCACACAAUAACCAUGAAAAUCUGCCUUCCAUUUCUUCUCCUUCCUCCAAGCUUUUAUUGCUGAACACAGUGUCAUAUGGUGGAAUCUCUCUUUGGGCAGCUGGGGUCAGCUAUCUCAGAUGGGUUCCCUCCCAGCCUCUUAUGCACCCCGAGCCUCCUCACUGGGGGCCAAGCAUGAAAGGGAGACUUGCUGCUGUUCACACUCUGUUCAUGAACUGAAAAAACACUGUUGCGUUAUUAGCACUGUUUCAGCUGCCGAUUCAAAGCACAGCACCAUACAGGUGAUUAUGAAGAAAGCAAGCUACCUCCAUCCCAACCAGUCCCAAGGUACUCAGAGGAGCUUGGCAUGUAAGACCUGCCAAAGCCUGCAGCCUUCUGAGGCAGCAGAUUUUUUACCUCCCAUGAUGCCAUAUUGCUGCGCUGCAGAAAUCCCUGAUUGAUACCACAGUUGAGUGAAAAAAACAGCUUCAGAACAUAGCAGGCACUUGUUCGGAAAUUGUACGUUAAGCUAGAUCAACAAGUUCUAGACUGCACAGGUGCUGACUGUGGCUUCCUAUAAAAACAGACCUUGUUCCUGUCACAGAUCAAAUUAAUCUUUACUGAAGAUGGAGAUUCAGGAAGGUUUUAAAUAACCCCAUCACACAUCUCUAUCCAGCUGCUAUUCUUUGCAUUCAUUGCUGUUCUCUACAGUACUGCUGGAGAUAUUCCUUGUUGUCUAGUAUCCUAUGUCAUGGGAAUGUUGCUAUGAGAAACUACCAAGAGAAAUCAGAGGAAGAAGCUCCUGGAAAGACUGGUGGUCCACUGGGACCUAGAGGAAAUGAGUUUUGAGCUGGUAGAUUGGACGGUUCCUCUCUCACAGUGAAGAUUAAUAGGAUAACCCAGCUACUGAUUAAAGGAAGCUGAAAAGGGGAUUAUCAACAGCAAGGGACUAGUUCAUCCACUUGCUGCUUUCAGCAAGAGACUUUCUGAAGCUAAGGAGGAGUGAAACAAGUAAUAUAGAAAGUCAUUGUGUUGGUAAAAUAGGAGCUGUAACGUGGAGGAGACAUUUUGCCACCGCGCUGUCCAGGUCACAUACUAAGUAGUUUCCAUUAUCAUUACUGUUGAUAAACCCUGUGCCAAUGGGACAGCCAGAGCUCCAGAACUUGUCACUUUUAUGCUAAAAUCUCUAGACAUUGCUUAAGGGAGCAAGUGCUUUUCUGAAGCCUGGAUUUUGAUGCCUUUUAUUGCAGAAGUCACAGUAUACAAAUAACUGUGAUAUAAAACAGAGUAACAGUCCAGAAAGAAAGAUUAUACUUUAACUAAGUUAUGCAGUAAUACUCACCCUUCAAAUCAGCAAGUUUGAGGCUCUAGUGAUAAAUCCUAAUAUUUCCAUUUAGACUGAUGUUUGACAGCAUUAGAAAAAAUGGUGAUGUCAAAAGGACUACUGUUCCUGUGGCUGACAAGGAAACCAUUUUGUAUAAUUGUUUCAGCCUAUGGAAGAGUGUAAUUCCUUUGGACAUUGCUGGGUUUUAUUUUCAUAAAAGUGAAUAAAUUAUCUCAGUCCCCUGGAUCAGAGGAUGUUAAGUUCAAAUCCUGUUGCUGGAAUAAUCACUACAAAAUACUUCAGUGUUGAUUCUGCAAUUUGUGGGUAGUUUUGGUGGGAAAGGCAUUUUUCCAAGUUUGCUCUCUUGAUGUGUUGAAAUUACAGAAAAACUGAAUUCUCAAAAGGGUGGCCAGGACAGUCAAAAUGGCAAUUGGCUGAAAUAUGUGCAAUAAAAAGUAGACUAAAUUCAAUAAAACGCUACCCUGCUGUUAGAUUUUCAUCUCUACAAAAAGCCUAUGACAACUAUAUCUAGCUACUUUUAUGAUUUUUAAGGUGUCUCCCUUAGAAGUCCUAGGGAAAGAAUCCAUGAGAGUGUUAAGAAAUCUCACACUGGGUUUGUGCAGAAUUUAAAGAUGUUUUCUUGUGAAGUUUUGGCUGACUGAUGGUUAUGGAAAAUCAUGAUCAGUCAUAUCAAAACAUCUGACCCCCAUUACUUUAUUCAACGUGGACUUCAUUUGUGCAAUUCACAUUUCUACUGGGUUUAAAUUUCAGAUUUAUUAAAUUUUUAUUUUAGUAUUACUUUUGAUCAAUAAAUUAUUUGGAAAGUGAAGAUAAAUUCCCUACUAGUUUACAAAAUCUUUGCAGAGAAAAUAAUCAAUAAAACAGUGCAGAAGCACAGAAAUAAGAAACCCUUACCUUUCUAGUGACUAAUUAUUCCUAAUAUGUGAUUACAUUAUGAAAAUGUUUCCUUUCAUAUUCUUCUAGUCUGUCCACCUUUGUCCCUGAAGAACCAAAAACAGUAUUUCUGGAUUUUUAGAAGUUUUGUAAGAUAUUUCUCAGGUACUUUACUAGAAAUGUAAUGUUAUUGUUUCCAGCCAAUGUAGGAUGACAACUGUGAACCAACUAUAGUCACUUCACCACUCUGCCACUCCUCAUACAGAUGCAGAAAGAAUAGCAAAUGAAUGUCAGUCACUUAAUUUGAUAUGCAGACUGGACUUCUGACAAUCGUUUACUUUUUUUUUUAAAGGCAAAAAUAGAAAUAUAUUAGCAAAAAUCAUUCUAAGCAAGAUACAAAAGAAAAUGAUGAGAAAAUUCCUGUUGCCUAGCUGAUGAGAAUGCAAAAAAAAAAAAAGCUCAAGUUAACCCUUGGUGGUGAAAUGAUGAAUUAACAACUGCUGGGAAAGUUGCCUCUGCUAUAGGUAACUCUAAGUGGGUAAGAGUACGUGGGCCUGUAUUUAGAUUAAUUUUUCCUUAAGUCUUUAAAAGGUGGGAACAGGUAAAACGGUGCUUACUAGCACUGACAAUUUAUUUUUCAUCGUAACAAAUGACCUUUUUGCACCUUAUUCCUUUGGCUAUUUUCAUGCUAAGCAAUUCUUUUCGUGGACAGUCCAUUCUCAGCAACCUGCAAGAUCAACCUCACUAAUAAUGACAGAGAAUCAUAGAGGUUUGAGUGGUGAGUAGCUCACUGUUUUGUUAUGAUUGUAGCUAACUACUCUUCAAGCUCUGCUACUUCAGAGAGAUUUCACUCUUAGGGUCUCUGAACAGAAAUCGGUUAGUUUUGGCAGCCUCUGGUCUGCUGUGUAAAAUUCAUCAGUGUCUUUCCCUGGCGUUUCAAAGGCAACACUUACAUGUAAUGGCUUUGCUGUGAAACAAAACAGAG